rnacentral:rRNA from 1 species
CGGGGUGAAGAAGGCCUUAUGGUUGUAAGCACUUAGCGAGAGGAGCUAUUAGUAUACCUAAGAUAGUGGAACGUUACUCGCAAAUAAGCACCGGCUAACUCUGUGCCAGCAGCCGCGGUAAUACAGAGGGUGCAAGCGUAAUCGGAUUUACUGGGCGUAAAGCGCGCGUAGCGGUAAUUAAGUCAAAUGUGAAAUCCCCGAGCUUAACUUGGGAAUUGCAUUCGAUACUGGUUAGCUAGAGUGUGGGAAGGAUGGUAAAUCCAGGUGUAGCGGUGAAAUGCGUAGAGAUCUGGAGGAAUACCGAUGGCGAAGGCAGCCAUCUGGCCUAACACUGACGCUGAGGUGCGAAAGCAUGGGGAGCAAACAGGAUUAGAUACCCUGGUAGUCCAUGCCGUAAACGAUGUCUACUAGCCGUUGGGGCCUUUGAGGCUUUAGUGGCGCAGCUAACGCGAUAAGUAGAACGGCUGGGGAGUACGGUCGCAAGACUUAAACUUCAAAUGAAUUGACGGGGGGC